GGUCUUUGCUGGUGGUAUCUGUCGAUUGCUGUUGCGUUUCUGGGAAACUGGAUUAGGGUUUUGUUCUUCCAAUUUGUGGUACUCAUUUCUUUGAUCUUAUUUGAUUACCUCUAAUACCAGGUUCUUUGCUUAUUUGAUCUAUCUUCUGUUUUCGUUAGUUCUUGUCAUGGUAUAAUCCAUUUAUUCCAAACCCUAAGAAAAAAGAAGGAGAAAAAGGUUGAUUGGUUUAUUUUUUAAUUGUAUAGAUUAAAAAAAGUUGUAUCAGUAGUACCCCUUUUCAAUUCCAUUCUAGCUGAUUUUAGGUUUCUUUGAACAGGAAACUCUGUGAAAUUUUUGGUUGCGUUGUUUUAGUUUGCUAUCCGAAAUUGAGGGUUUUCUUGUUAGAUCUCUCGUCUCCUUUUCUUCUCUUUUCCCCACUUUUGUUUUCCCUCCCUUUCCUUUCUAUUUUUUCUUACAGAAAUUCCCUUUCUUUUCCCUCUGAUAACUUUUUCCUGCUUGGGUUUGGCUUCGUUUAGACGAAAUUGGGGUUUAGGUUUUUACAUAGAAUGGCCUUGAAUUUUUCUCAUCGACCCCUUUUCCCAGGGCAUCUUCCUGAUGAAAAUUUGGUUUCACCAAUGAGGAUUGCGAAUGGGUACCUUGUGGAUGGUAUACAGGACAAGGUUGAGAAUUACUUUGAUUAUGGGAGGGAUAGGACCGAUAGGUGUGUCUCACAAGAAUCCGUGCAUAAGGACAUUCUUGAUCUUUUGCCAUCGGAUCCUUUUGGCAUGGACAUAAGCACUACGUUUACUGCGAUAACAGGUUGGCUUGAAGAUUUGGAGGUGGACUAUGGUGGGUAUGGUAGGGAUCAGGUUGCUACUAGUGAUGGGAAUUAUCAGUUGUUUGCUGGGUUGAAUUUUAUUUGGAAUAAUGCAAUGAGGUUCCAAGCAUUCCCUGAGAAUGUGGGGUUUGAUAAUGGCUUGAAUGCAGUUGGACUUGGUGAUGGGUUUCUAGAGAAGGAAGUAGGGGAUGCAUCUGGCCAUGGUGCUUUUGGUUUGCCUUGUAUUGUGGAAGACAUUUUGAGAUUAGGGAACGAAUUAAUUGCCAAUAAAGAUGCUGGUAUUGUCGAUAAGAGAAUUGGAGAAUCUCACGAGGGUAUUGGUGUUUGCUCUGAUGGAGAUGCAGGAUCUCCUCAUGCAGCCUUUGCUUUUGCUCUUGGUUAUCUUGGUGUGCGGGAUCUUCUUGUUGUUGAAAUGGUUUGCAAAUCAUUGCGAUCUACUGUUCGAAAUGACCCACUUUUAUGGAGGAGCAUUCACAUAGAUCAACCAUUGAAUGACAAGAUCACUGAUGAUGUUCUUUUGCAAUUAACUAAUGUGGCUCAAGGUAAUUUGCAAUGCCUGAGCCUGAUUGAGUGUCCAAGGAUUACUGAUGAUGGGUUGAAGCAUGUCCUUCAAAAUAACCCUAGGCUAAUCAAGGUGAGUUUUUCUUUUUUAAUGAUGUUUCUUGCAUUGGUUUCGGAAUCUUAUUGUUUGUAGCUUAUCUGAAGAUGUGCAAUUUGCUGUUCCUCUCAUGUAAUGCUGUCGCUUUUUCCUUUUUGAAAAAAGUAAAAGUGAAUCAUGUUAUGAUUAUGAUUCAGUGGUAAAAUUUUGAUUCCUUCCUAGGAAUAGACUUGCUUUCCUGAUGCAUGGAUUUUUCCCUGUACCUCCCCGUAUCUAUACUUUUGUACUGUGUACUGUUGGAACUGAUUAUUCUGUGAACCUUAAUUUAAGAGAAAUGUGGUUAUAGAUUGGAGUGUGAUACUACAGAUGUUAGAGCGGUAAGUAACUGCAUAACUGCUGUUAACUGAUGAUGUAGGAAGCAACAUCUGUGCUUUUUGGUCAAUUUUCCAUCAUCUUGAGAAAUAGUUUGUCCAAAAUAACAGUUUUUGAAGCUUGUUUCAUGCACUGUGGGAUUACAGUUUUCUUGCACCUGAUUUCUUAACUAUGUAGUGAAAGCAAGGGAUCAAACUUAACAUUUUAGUUUUGAGGCUUUAGUUGGUUAUCUUGGAUAGUCAAGAUUCCUUUUCCCCUAAAUUUACUGAUCAAAAUGACUGCAAGAUGUGGUCAGUAGUUAUGAAACUAUGCAGAAAAUGCCAAAUAUUCUUCCCUUCCCAACUUUUAAUGAAUAACAUGUGUAUCAUAAAACGUGUAAAAUGGAUUGCCUCUCUGAGAAUGGAAGAACUCUUAUGCUUGCAUGCUUUAUUUGUAGUUUUACCCCUUUGUGCUUUUGUAGCUAUUGGGAUAUAUAAGAAGCCUGAGUUAUCUUAAUUUCCACACUGCAUAAUUCUCCUUAGCUUUUAGUUGUAUCAAUUAUUAUGGGCAUGGGUUUUUUCCAGCUUCUUUUGUUUGUAUGUUUAUUGCAAUAAGUUGAGUAGAUGUUUGUUCUAUUACUUUGUUGAUCCUGAUUAGAUGAUAACUUUUCUUCCUUUAUGCAGCUGAGUGUGCCUGGAUGUACUAGACUUGGCAUUGAAGGCAUUGUAACUAGCUUAAAGGUGUUAAAGACUAUGGGUGCUCAAGGGGUAAAGCAUUUAAGGAUUGGUGGGCUCUAUGGAGUAACACAGAAGCAUUUUGAAGAACUGAAGUUCUUGUUGGGCACAGAUAGGCGCAUACAGCAGAAUGCCCACAAACCACAUUUUUAUCACAGAGGAAACUUUUAUCUGUCGUGUGAGGAUGAUCGUACCAUUGAUAUUGAAAUGUGCCCAAGAUGCCGGAACCUGAGGUUAGUAUAUGAUUGCCCUGCAGAGGGUUGUCAGCAGAAAGAACAUUCCACUCAGACAUGCAGGGCAUGCACACUUUGUAUUGCUCGGUGUGUUCAGUGUGGCCGGUGUAUUAAUGACAAUGAAUAUGUGGAAACAUUCUGCCUUGAGUUGCUUUGUUCAGAUUGUUGGAAGCAACUCCAGAAAUGCCAGGAGAAGCAAGAUAGCAAGAUUAGUGCACCCAAGUCUCCUCCUCUUGGUGAAUCUAGCUGUAGUCUCCAUCUUCAUGGCUAGAGACAGAUGUCGGUUUGUGUCUUCUGGUUUCAUAUUAUCAUUGAGAUGUGCAUAAUUUGUUAUUUAGAAUCUAAGAAGAAAAUGUGAGGCAGCCAUCUAGGAUUACAGUUUCAUUUGAUUCUUGUUUUGCCUUCUGAGUGUGCUGACUGUCUCGGAUGAAUCUACUGGUGGGUUUCAAGAUGUUUUUGGGUUCAGAUCAGAUUGACUACCCAGAUUUAUUGUUUUGUGGAAAAAAUUUAUUGUUUUGUGGAAGAAAGGAGGGGGAAAAAAAAGAAAUAACAGAAAUAGAAAUAUAACAUAAAGCAAGAAGACUAUGAUUUUCGAGUCAUUUCGCUAGCUCUGCAAGAACUGCUCACACUGAUGGAUCUUAUGUUCUGGUUUUUCUUUUAUUUGGCAUGUGGCCUAAUAGAAGUCUGAUGAAGAAUGCGUUCCUUUGCCUGUGAUGUGCAGAACUGGCACAUGAAUCUGCAUGGAAGUGGGGUAAGAUUUAUGCAGCAUCGGCCAUGAGAGGAGUUAUGUCAUUUAUGUCAUUAAUGAUGGAAAGUGACUCAUCUGGUGUACAUGUUGUAAAUGAGAUCGUAUGCUGCUCCAUUGAAACAAGCAGUGAUUUAUUCUUGAUGUGAGUCUUAGCGUAUAAAAUCUUUAUUGCCUGAGGAGAUGGAGCGAUUAGUUUCCUGCUGUGAAGCGGAUCUUGUGCCGCAGGCCCCACUCAGACCAUUAUUGUUGAGGUGCAUAGUUUUGGAUGGAACCACUGUUUUGCCAGAGCUCUUUUAGCCGGCGAGUUGCGUAUAUUUCUAGUGCUGGUAGAUUCCUUGUUUCAUUUGUGAUAUUGUUGUUGGCUCUUAGCUUGCUUUGUUUAAAGUAGGGGAACAAUCUGUUUUACUUGCCACGGUGGCUUGUAACAUGCAUUAGUAGUAUGAGGCUUUUAUUACGUGUCUUCCAUCCCAGAAGCUUUAUGGGCUCCAUUAUGGGCGCCAGAUGUACUUCUCUAUAAAAAUAAAUAAAAAAAUAAUAAUAAAAUCUGAAUAUUUUGAAUGUUCUCUGCUGGAUGGAGUGCUAGGUUUACAUCUUGAUCUUGUAGCUUAAAAAAAA
rnacentral:misc_RNA from 1 species